UACGUAGGGGGCAAGCGUUGUCCGGAGUUACUGGGCGUAAAGCGCACGCAGGCGGUCUCUUAAGUUUGGAGUGACAGUUGGUGGCUUAACUGCCAAAGUGCUUCGAAAACUGAGAGACUUGAGGGCUUCAGAGGGACACGGAAUUCCGGGUGGAGUGGUGAAAUGCGUAGAUAUCAAGUGGAACACCAGUGGCGAAGGCGAGUCUCUGGACAUUUCCUGACGCUGAGGCACGAAAGCCAGGGGAGCAAACGGG
rnacentral:rRNA from 1 species